rnacentral:rRNA from 1 species
GGGGUGACAGGCGGGAGGGGAUCAUUA